rnacentral:rRNA from 1 species
GGCAGCAGUGGGGAAUCUUGCACAAUGGGCGAAAGCCUGAUGCAGCAACGCCGCGUGCGGGAAGAAGGCCCUAGGGUUGUAAACCGCUUUCAGUAGGGAAGAAAAUGACGGUACCUACAGAAGAAGGUGCGGCCAACUACGUGCCAGCAGCCGCGGUGACACGUAGGCACCAAGCGUUAUCCGGAUUUAUUGGGCGUAAAGAGCUCGUAGGCGGUUUGGUAAGUCGGGUGUGAAAACUCUGGGCUCAACCCAGAGAGGCCACCCGAUACUGCUAUGACUAGAGUACGGUAGGGGAGCGGGGAAUUCAUGGUGUAGCGGUGAAAUGCGCAGAUAUCAUGAGGAACACCAGCGGCGAAGGCGCCGCUCUGGGCCGUAACUGACGCUGAGGAGCGAAAGCAUGGGUAGCAAACAGGAUUAGAUACCCUGGUAGUCCAUGCCGUAAACGUUGGGCACUAGGUGUGGGUCUCAACCAACGAGAUCCGCGCCGUCGCUAACGCAUUAAGUGCCCCGCCUGGGGAGUACGGUCGCAAGACUAAAACUCAAAUGAAUUGACGG